AUCCCUCCUCUUCACGUCCCCACCCCUUCUCUUCCGUCCUAUCCCUCCUCUCACGUCCCCAUCCCUCCUCUUCACGUCCCCACCCUUCUCUUCACGUCCCUACCCCUUCUCUUCACGUCCCUAUCCCUCCUCUUCACGUCCCCACCCCUCCUCUUCACGUCCUCACCCCUCCUCUUCACGUCCUCCCCAUCCCUCCUCUUCACGUCCCCAUCCAUCCUCUUCACGUCCCCAUCCCUCCUCUUCACGUCCCCAUCCCUCCCCACCACUUCUAUCAGAGGAUUAGUCCCUCCAACCUCCUCCUCCAAGUUCCUUGAGGCAAUAAUAAUCUGAAGCGACUAGCAGAACCACUGGUGUACAGAGGGAGGAGUCCUUCCAUUACCACUAAUGUUAAUCCCAAGCCCAUUAGGCCUCCGGUCCCCUCCUACCCUCUCGCGGCCCAGGUCCUCGUAGUCGCUUCAGUCUCAACAUAUUGACAAUAAUUUCGUUCUUGCUGUUGAAUACGACCCCGUACUGACGGUACCCAGGGAAGUAAGUGAGAUCUUGAGCAUUGUGGAGAAAUGUCUGUUGUUGUUGUUUUUUUUUAUUGAUGAGAAGAGGAUUAUGUUCCCUGAAGUGUUUUCGUCAUAACAACAUCAAGUCGGUGAUGUGUUCUCUCUUUGGUAAACCGUAAAUACAGAACGGCUUUGAGAAGAAUUUUUUGACUAUAAAGAAAUAAAUCUUUUAGAGAGUUCACUGUGCUGCCUCAUGGCUUUUUAAAGUGUGUGCCCUCACGCCGCCCUUCACAGGUACUUUGUGAAACGUUGAAGUACCAAAAGGACCUUCAUAUAAAUAAAGUGAACUGACAGUGGACAGAGGAAGGUAAAGAAACACUCACACUGAACUAAACUGCCGAGCUAUCAAGUGCAACAAUGGCCGGUAGAUGUCGUCGCCAUUCGCCUCGUCAGUACCUCAGCAGCGCGAGAACCAAUCACUGCAGCUCGUGGUAACUUGACUAAUCUUCUCGUGACUUCAUGCAAGCGAAGCUACUUUUUGAAGUUGAAUUUUAAUGAGACCGUAGUGGCUGAGGAAGUCCAUGACGUGAACUUCUGACGACCUGUACUGUCACGGAUGGUUCCCCGGGAGCUCAGAGACAUACAGAGGGGACAGUGCUACGGUUGCCUGAGGAUAAAGCUCUUACACGUACAACAGAAGAGACUGGAUGUAUCAUGCAGCGCCCGGAGUUUGUUGUUGAGGCGCCACGACAUAUAAACAAGUCGUGACGUAAAUUACAGAAGUUGAUCAGCAGAUGGAGUCAGACCUCAGGUGCGUUAAGUCUUCAGUGGUCGAGCCUGGCUAGUAGUGGGGGGCUUCACCAACGGUUGGGUCUCACCUGAGGUUGGGUCUCAUUAGAGGUUGGGUCUCACCACCUGCCAGGCUUAGGGAGUGAAAUCAUCUCCUCACUGUUGCUGGAGAUGGACUCUCAGCUCUGGUCUUACUGACUGUUAGCUUCACCACUUGUCAAGGUCUACUUGUCAUCACUGGUUGUGCUUCACCAGUAAUGACAGCUGAACAUCUCAAGUGGUUGAGUUCCAGCAGUAAACAGAUAAGGUCUAUAACACGGCUGGACAGGAAAUUAUCUUGUACAGUCAGUUGUCAGUUUGGCCUCAGCAGUGAUCAGUGGUCGACGUUUAUCAGUGGUGUUGAGGUUCCUGUCAGUUGUCACGGUCAAUAAGUAAGGACAAUAGUCAGACCUCAGCAGGGUCGAGUGACAGUCAGGCUUUGAUGGUCAGACCAUCCUUGGUGAUCAUCAUCAUCAUCAUCAUUAUCAUCAUUAUCAUCAUCCUGAUUCUUGAGGAAUCAGCCGUGAGAUUUUCUAAUUCUACUACUAUCUGAGUAGCUUUUCAAAACUUGUACUUUUGCAUCAACAACUCGUGAUGCGGUUUUCGAAUAGCCGGUGAGAGAACCACGUUGACGAGGCUUUCCUUCAAUGGCUAAUGAGUUGGAAAUCCAGUCCAGAAAUAUCGGUUCUUUUGUUGUGUAACUUCCAGCUGGUAUGGAAUUAACUAAAGUUUUUAAUACAUUGUAAAUAAAGCUAUUGUACCUCUCGCAUGCACUUUUUUGAAACGUGUGUAAAUUAAUGACAAUAUUUGCAUAAUCUAUUACAUCCCAUUGGCAAUAAUAGCCUAAUCAGUGUUAGUCAGGUAACGUGGUCACAAGAUCAACAUACUGUACACUUACUCUAAAUACCCUUUGCUAAACAGACUUGUUCUGCCUUGAAACUCUCUUUGUGAGUUGUCUUCUCUGUAUGGCAGGAAAUUUUAAAUUGAAAUAUAUUUUGUAGAGCACAGGAAGAGCAAGUGAUGCGUACUCACUGUACAGCUCGUGGCUGUUGAGAAAGGUGCCUUUGAACCUGCUGUUGAUGCAGCAUCAAAACAUUGUUGGUUCACUCUUACGGAGAACCUGUCAAGAGUCAAUUUUUAUACAAGUACUCGGCAUCAGAACGCUGUGGACUGUGCUGACGGGUUCAGUUUAUUGUGUCAUACCACAUACUGGAGCCGAGAACUUUGGGGCUCCGUUUGUCUUGUGGAACAACUGUACUUAAUGCUCACAAGGAUCAAGUCUGGUUAGUACAUGACGUAUGUAGAGUUAGUGUAUCACAUGCAUAAUUACGUGCAUUGUUUUAUGAGAUUAACAGUCGCAUAACUUAGUGGUUUAAACUGCAUUCAGAGAGUGAGAGCUUUAACUGAAGAAUGGAGACUAGUGAAAGUUCAAGGCAGGUUUGUUUACAUAUUUAUUUUUGCUACUGACAGCACAUCAUACAUGAUCAAUCCUGUUGUGUACUUGUCAUAAGGAAAGCCUUUGGGACCGAGAACAUACAGAAGACGAUACAUUCGCAAUAUACACCUGUAUCACACUGGGUUUCAGGUAUUAAGAAACAGGUGCUUUGAGGAGUCAUAUUUUGUAUCACUCGUUUCGUAACUUGGAAUGGGUAUAUGACACGCGGACACUCUACCAAGAUCACUUUGUAGACUGGAGGAAAACGCCAGCAUCAUGGACGCUGUCAGGACAACGGUGAUGAACUGUAGAUAUUAGUCUAACCUCACACAACCCAUGUCGCUUGUUGACCACAGUUUACGGGUGAUGGCAGCAGUGUAAGUCUCGGAAUAUUAUACAAUUUGCUGAAGAAAUUUAUUUGUUUCCAGUUCAUCUCAUUUCAAUAUUCAAGGAAGAAUUUCAUCUUUUAUUCCAUCAUUGUUAUUUUAUUCUUUAUAAAUCACUGGUGAUAUGGUGUUGGAUAUUCUUAGAGUUACAAGUCCUCAUCAUCUAAGAUAUUUGAUAUGUAUUACCCCCUUUUCCCUCUACAUGUGGUUUCUGUAGAAUAAAAGGGAAAUUAUUUAGAGAAUGAGGCACAAACAUUCAUAAAUGCCAUUUGUUUCUGUCAAGUGUUGAAACAGCACAGCCGUAGUGAAUCACCUUUUACACAAAGGACAUUAUUUAUCUUUAAUAUCACCAAGACGAUAUUUUCUUUUAACGGAAAAAAUCCUCAGUGACACUCUGUUACCAGGUUUGUUUUUAGUGAGCGAAAAAUAACAAUAAAUUCACUCCUUCACAGCUUCAGCUAUCAAUCUGUACAUAACCCGCAUCACGCCCUAGCUGACUGCCCCUGGAGCCACACAUCGUUCACUACCAGUCAGUCAGAUAAUGUUUCCUACUAACAGCUUCAGCACAUACACGUCUGCUCAACAUUUAGUGUAGGAAGCACGACUAUACAUUACCACACUCACGUCAAAUUUAACCCACUCUCCCGUUUUCUAUAAAGCUAGCGACAGUAUGUAAUUUCUCUCUCAUGUUUCCUAUAAUAAUGGCCACAGGAGAUUGUUUCCUCUCCUGUACUGUAUAUGAUUGAUUUUGUACAUUAAGUUCCACUUUUGUCAUUUCCAGUACCUUGGUGUGCGGUAAAUUAGCACAUCCCAUUUUAUGUCCGUCUAGUUAAUAAUAACUUCCUUCAGUACAAGUUUAUCCUAGAAAUAUCCCAGCCACUCCUCUUUACACCCUUAUCUCUCUCAGUUAAUUCCAUAUCUCAGGUUAUCAUAUUUUUGCCCUCUUCUUUCUUCUCAUUUAUCAACCUUCUCUAUCUUAAUGGAUAUAGCUCCUUAUCUCUUAUCAUUCCAUUAGUAACGUCAUUUACAACUGUAGAAAUAUACCAUUGUUUACAUAGCCCCCUUACCUGCCUGUACCUCACCUCUACACCACAAUAUAUAUUCAAACUCUUUAAUUUCUGUAACAUAUAUGACUCUAAUUGUUCUUUAUAGCUCUAUUAAGUAUAGCUGACUGAGUUUAUAUAGCUCCGAUAGUGAUAUGUAUUUCCAGUAUAUAAAAAGUACUUUUUACUUUCCUAUUCAAUUAGUUAUGUUUGAAAUUCAUAUAUAAUCUAGUAUAUACUGUAUGUCUUAAUAUGUACACUAUAUCUGUUUAUGUGUGGUAUUGUUGUAGUUCUGAUUUGUAUUAUGUUACUAAUUAUAUAAUAUAGUGUAUUAUAAUUACUACUAUGAGUCAGGGACGAAUAAAGACAGCCAUUUAGUAUCAUAAUUACCUCCAUUAGUCAUAAAACUCCACCUAUCAUCAGGUACAGUACAACAAUAGGUUAAUUAAAACACACACACACACGUUAUCAUCCUGUUCUCUUCCUUGUAUGUAAUUAUCAUGCUUACAAUAAACGCAAUCAUUAGAAUAAACUCCGAGAGCUUGAGUACAACGAAAAGUUAUACUACAGUAUUAUGAGUAAAUUAACGUAAUGCAGAAACAGAAAACUAUGGUGACGAUGUAUAUUUAGUCUUAUAAGUUAUGGUAAUAAUACUCACGAGGUACAAGGACUUAUAAUAAAGUCCUGGAUCUGAGAAAAGGGUGAAGUUGUAUAAUGUAAUUCAUAUAAUAAUAAUGUACCAAGGGGAAGCAGAAAACUUUAAAAAUCUUGUAUUUUUUCAUUAAUAAAAAAAAACGAAAUGAAGUGAAAUUGUUUAAAAUGUUUGAAAAAUUAGUGGUAAAGAAAAUUCCUAACAUGUAAAAAUAUAUACUGUAAAGGCGAUUAUAAUACUGUAUAUAAAAAUCCCGAAAUUAAUCUAUUAUUUAGUUUAAAUAGGCAUACAAAAUCAGAACAAUUAAAUUAUUGUUAAAAAAUUAAUAAGUAACAGCAUGUGACACGACCAAAGGGUAGUUGCAGCAAGUAAACAAUAAUUUUACCGAGUGUUGUGUUGUCAUUCUUCACCAAAACAUUACGAAGUGUGAUCGGUAAGGCGAGAGAUCCAGUGCCUCAGUAUUCUUAUAAGUGAACGGACGCGCUUGUCUGAGAGACUGCCCCACUCUCCCACCCCCACCCGGCCAGCGUCUGAGUACGUGAGGGUCAGGAUUGAGUCCACGUAAAACAGAUAAAUUAUUAACUACAACGGAUCUCAGUUAAAAAAGGUAAGACUACAGUGCGUUAUAGAAAAUAAUUAACAGUGAAUAUGCCUCUGUUUAUCUGGAUUUCAUUCGUAAGAGGAGACUGAGUUUUUCUUUGGCGUUUGUAAAUGGUUUCCAACGGUGAAAAUCCGACUAAGGUGAAUUAAACGUGUUGUUUUAUCGGUGCAAGCCAAGAAUGCUCACAGCUUUCAUUAUUUAUUUACAAUAUUUACCGUUUGGAGAAUUUCCUCGCAUCAUAAAAAAAUCGUAACUUGUCCAACGUAUAUUAUAUAAGGUACUUAAGUAAAUAUUGUAUAGUACACACCUCUCUGCAUUCCGUCUUCAAGUGCCGGGGAUAUUAGGUUCGAAUGCCAGGUCCUCAGCAGUCGCCCGUUUGUAUUCACCUUUCUCGUUUGUUUUUCGUUUGUCAGUUUGUCAGGGCAAUAUUUCCGGCCAAGUGCUGAAGUAAACAGAUGAAUUUUGUAUUUUUAUUUUUAAUUUUUUUAGUUAAUGACUCAACUGUGUCAUGAUGGGGUGAGAAGGGCCGUUGUACAGUAGAGUUACCGCUGCGUGUUUUAUGUCGAAAUCAAAAGAGCAUCAAUUAUAUUCUAGUCUUAAAUUAUAUCAUAAGUUUAUCAGGAUAGUCCUAGGUGAAAUUUCACAUCGAUUACCUUAAAAUAUGUUUGGUAUAAUCUGAUGUUAAUGAAGUGAUUUAGAUUUUGUCAAAUUCAUAAUGUGUGUUGCCUAUGCUAUAUUGGAUUAAUGAAAAUUUUUAAGUUGGAGAUAAUGAAGUUACACAUUUAACAAUAUAAAUCUAUGGGUUCUCAGUGUGGGAUAGCAUUGUUUUGACUCGGUACAGUACUCAGUGUGUAAGUGUGAGCAUGAUAAACGACAUUACCAUUACAGUCAAUUAAACGUGAAUCUGUUUGUUGCUGUAUAAUUGUUUGACACCAAAUGGUUUAUGUUUGAUAAGAUUAAAACAACACAAAAUAUAAACAUCAUUAAAACAGCGCCCAAAGAUUAAUAUAAUUUACCUUUAUAGCAGGAGCUUCCGGGGCUUAUAUAUUAGUUUACCAUAAAUACAAAGUUACUACAUUCAUACACUGUUCCAUUAUUUCUGGUGUAUGAUAAAAGAGGUAUAUUUAUACAAUGGUUCUAACUGUAUGUUACACUUUACCAUACAUCACUGUCCUUGUUAUUACAUACCGAAUAAUACACUGUUAUUAAAUUCGACGCCAAAAAUGUAUUUCUUUCUAUGUAAACUGACGAGGUAAUAUCACACUCAUAAUUCCACUGUUGUUGAUAUUCUUGUUGUAAUUCCUUGUUAUAAUUGACUAUAUUGUGUUUGUACUUAAGAGGAGUGGCUAUAUCUUUUCAAUAACAGUACUAUAUUAGUUAGUUUCUUAUAGGAGUAAAUAUAGAUCCUGUUACUUAGUCAAGAAGUAAUGUUUAAAGAAUUAUGUAAUACGUAGCUUCCCUCCCUCUAUCCCUCCCUCUAUCCCUCCGCUUGUCAGCUAAUUUUGUUAUCAUAUAUUUAUGUACACCUAAAAGUAACUUACUGAA
rnacentral:lncRNA from 1 species